CUAAUUUUUAUAUGUAUCUGUAUCCAACUUUUAUUUGUAUCUGUUAUCUGUAUCUAAUUUUUUUGUAUCUGUAUCUAACUUUUAUAUGUAAUCUGUAAACAUACCGGUUGGGGAGCUCGGUGAUGGGCAGGUUGUUGUUACCCACGUCUUCAUGGGGAGGGUCGUGGGUGUCCUCUUUUGUGUGGAAAUAUGAAUAUUUGUGGGGUAUGAAUCCUGCAUAGCUCUUGCACUGAGUUCUGCCAGGUUACUGUAAGCAGCUUCUAUGUCUCAAUUUGCCGUAUAGCCACUACUCACCAUGAACUGCAAUCAAAAUAGGACAAAGAAUCUCAUUAGUUUUCUUCUUGCAGAUCCAGGAUGUCGAGAUCUCCGGUAGCCUGCCCCGUUUCAUCACCAUUUUAUGUUCGUGAGGAAUUCGGCAGUUCUCCUGAACAUUCUGAUGGGUCGUCUGUGUCUCCACCACCGCGCCGGCCUUCCCACCGCAUGGAUCGUUCGCUCGACAACAGGAGACCGCGUCACCGAUCACCUCGCCAUUCUGAUUAGCAGCUCAACAUAAUCUAGGUUUUUUUUUCUUCAGUUGGUUCUUAGUUUUCUUUUGUUGACAUUCUAGACUUGUCCAUUUCAUAGAUUUCUUUCAAUCACAACAUAUUUGCCAAGGUUUGAUCUUUUCUACUCGUAAAGCUUAAUGACAUAGUUUUCAAUCGGGCCCAAGCCCUUCUUAACAUGACUUAGGCGGUCAAGAUUCGCGAGAGACAACGUGUGUUUAAGAUUUGAUAAAAAGGAAAAUUGCCGAUUAUCAUUAUGAGUAAACUUAUUUGGCUUAUGUUUCUGGAAAGGUAUCGGAAGCUUGUUAUCUUUGACGUAUUUACAUGGCGAAGUUGCUUUUGAUGAUGAGGAACUGGAACUAUGAUAAAAUUUUGUGUUCAUCAAACGGAAUGCCAUCUUACUUCACUUUCAGAUAUCGCCACCUUGUUGAGUAAAGGAAGUGCAGAUUUUUUUUUUUAAUAUUCUUUACUACACUUGACUAAAAUUAUCAACGUGAUAUCUAGGAAUAAUCUCAAUAAUCAAAUGCGAAUCGUUAACUUAAAGAUAAGCAUCGUGCUCAACAUCUGCAGUGCUGGCUAGCUGCCAAUGUGUGACAGACCCAAUACAGAUCGCUCCAAAAUCUUUCUGAUGAACAAAAACUGAACUGAAAGUCUCAAGAACAGCCUAUUGUCAUUGGUACCAAUUUUUUGUCUCGGUUUUUAAUUUGCCACAGGAAAGUUACAUUCUAUUCUAAUUGGAGCACGAAGGAAUAACUUGUCUCUGCAAUACGACAAACGUCUGGCCUGUUGCACUACCAUCCACCGCCGCUGUGGCAUUGAUCAGGUGUCCAGUGAAAUUCUUCGAGUUCCUCACGCAACUUGUCGCUUCUUGCCCUCCUCGGUGAGACCAAGCUUCUGUAAGAAGGUCAGCACCUCCUCUACAUAGGCUUCCUUGUAGCGGUAAUAGUGGCUCACGUGCGGCGACUUCUCGAAUAUCUUCACGAAAACCUGCACAAACGGACACGUUUUAGGAGCCAACACAAAUUAGAUCCAGCAACGUCCGUAUGAUAAGCACGAGAUGUCAGACAAAAUAGAUGCAGCAACGUCCGUAUGGCAAGCACGAGAUGUCAUCAAAUUAAAGAAGAUUCUACUCACAGGGACGUUGUAUUUCUCCCAUUUCUCGUAGACGACGGCAUUCAUCUCGAUGGUGGCGACGGGGUCGGCCUUCGAGAGCAGAAAAAGGGCAGGACGCCGCACGUAGCACUCGUGGAACUUCUGCGCCGACCGUAUGUAGUGAAUCGUCGCGUUGUCAUACUGGGUGCGCAGGAACCAUCUGAAGGAAAAUUGUUUUGGGGUUAAACAAGUUUGUUACCUCAAGGUUACUGAUUUAUUAUUUGGCAUCAGUGGUACUAAUUAUCUAGGAUUGAGAAGAAUUCAGGUAAACCGCGAAACUUCAGGACGAGCUUGGCGCGUGUUAGUACUGUUUUACAAUGAACUGCGUACAAGCCGACGUCUUCACUUAUGGUUAAUGUGGGUUACGAACUAUAGCUGAAAAAUUCCUCCCAAUAUAUGAACUUUGCGCUGAUAUACGAAACGAAGCUGUCGGCUGUUAAUGACCAUCGACCUGAUAGACGAGGCUCCAUUUCUGCUGGCUGAAGUGUUAACCGAUUUUUCUCAGUACCUAAUAAGUAAUUAUUAGUGGAACGUUUUCGA